GGUCUUGCUAUCGGGGUCCGAUUUAGCCUGCUAGUCGCACGGGUUCAGACCCGUGGCGAAUAGCUCCGUAACACGUGGCCAAACUACCCUCCAGAGAGCCAUACCCUCGGGAAACUGAGGCUAAUAGCUCAUACGCGAGCCAGACUGGAACCGUCGGCUCGUCGAAACGCUCCGGCGCUGGAGGAUGUGGCUGCGGCCGAUUAGGUAGACGGUGGGGUAACGGCCUACCGUGCCGAUAAUCGGUACGGGUUGUGAGAGCAAGAGCCCGGAGACGGAAUCUGAGACAAGAUUCCGGGCCCUACGGGGCGCAGCAGGCGCGAAACCUCUACACUGCACGCGAGUGCGAUAGGGGGACCCCGAGUGCGAGGGCAUAUCGUCCUCGCUUUUGUGAACCGUAGUGAGGUUCACGAACAAGCGCUGGGCAAGACCAGUGCCAGCCGCCGCGGUAAUACCGGCAGCGCGAGUGAUGACCGAUCUUAUUGGGCCUAAAGCGUCCGUAGCCGGCCGCGCAAGUCCGUCGGGAAAUCCAACCGCUUAACGGUUGGGCGUCCGGCGGAAACUGCACGGCUUGGGGCCGGAAGACCUCAGGGGUACGUCCGGGGUAGGAGUGAAAUCCCGUAAUCCUGGACGGACCGCCGAUGGCGAAAGCACCUGAGGAAGACGGACCCGACGGUGAGGGACGAAAGCUGGGGUCUCGAACCGGAUUAGAUACCCGGGUAGUCCCAGUCGUAAACGAUGUCCGCUAGGUGUGUCCCCCACUACGAGUGGGUGACGUGCCGCAGGGAAGCCGCUAAGCGGACCGCCUGGGAAGUACGUCUGCAAGGAUGAAACUUAAAGGAAUUGGCGGGGGAGCACUACAACCGGAGGAGCCUGCGGUUUARUUGGACUCAACGCCGGACAUCUCACCAGCCCCGACUGAGGUAAUGACGGUCAGGUUGAUGACCUCAUCACGAGCCUCAGAGAGGAGGUGCAUGGCCGCCGUCAGCUCGUACCGUGAGGCGUCCUGUUAAGUCAGGCAACGAGCGAGACCCGCGUCCCUAAUUGCCAGCAACACCCUCGUGGUGGUUGGGUACAUUAGGGAGACUGCCGCCGCCAAGGCGGAGGAAGGAACGGGCAACGGUAGGUCAGUAUGCCCCGAAUGGACCGGGCAACACGCGGGCUACAAUGGUCAUGACAGAGGGACGCGACGCCGAGAGGCGAAGCUAAUCUCUAAACGUGAUCGUAGUUCGGAUUGCGGGCUGAAACUCGCCCGCAUGAAGCUGGAUUCGGUAGUAAUCGCGCCUCAGGAGCGCGCGGUGAAUACGUCCCUGCUCCUUGCACACACCGCCCGUCAAAGCACCCGAGUGGGGUCUGGAUGAGGCCUGGAUACCCAGGUCGAAUCUGGGCUCCGCAAGGGGGCUU
rnacentral:rRNA from 1 species